GUAUAUUUGUUUUAUACUCGACAUUCUUAAACACGUCGUGAAAUGGUUUACAACAUAGACCUGGAAAACAACAAGGCAAAGCCGUGUGGGCAGUCCUCAAUCUAUUCGAAUGAAUAAACAACAACUCCAGGUCUACACUAUGUGCACAGUUGGAAAAAUAAAGCAGGUUUAUUUUCAAUAAUGAUCCUUCCGCAGGUUCACCUACGGAAA
rnacentral:misc_RNA from 1 species